GGGGACAAGGGCGUCCCUCUCUGGGCUGGUUCGUUUUGGAAACCCUCACCGCCACCCUGUUCGGGCCAAAACACCGCUAUCCCCCUGCUGCGGCUGGUCCUUGCGGCGGCGCUCGUUCUUAGCCGGCGCCAACGGGGGGAUGGAGGAUGCUAGUAUGGAGUUCCUGCUUGACGCCGUUGACAGGUUUCCCCUGAGAGAGGAAUUCGCUGACAACCUUGAGCACCCAGAUCCGAUUACCCUCGUCUUCCUGGAGGACGACGGAGCCGGUCAUAUGUGGUUCCCGCGGAAUCUAUUGCUAUGGGUCUGGUUGUGCGGAAAAGGUCGGAGACGAUGGAAUAGGUAGAGCGCGUGAAGGAGCUCGCCGUGGCCGUAAUGCAUCUCCGACAAGGUCGGCGCAGUCGACUGACAGAGUCAAUCCACAAGCGUCUGGCUGGAUACAAAGGAAGAGCUUUGUAGGGAUGAUGCUGAAACUGACUGGAAUUACAUCAGCACUAUGAUGAAUUCAGAAGUGAUGGGCUAUAGGAUUGACUGGCCGAAGAAGGUAAAUGGAUUGGCUACCACAAACCAAUACUAUCCCCUAUGGUACUAUCUGUCUGAUUUUGUAUGUCUGUUAUUGAACAAAUAAACUUUCAGUUCAUGUUCCCGGUGAAUUUCAUGGAUUGUUAGUCAUUGUACAUCCCGGAGACGGAGAAGAAAAUUAUGAUGGUGCUUUACCCCACUGAGACUGAUCCGACAGAUGAGAUAAAAAUCAAACAUGAGGAACUAACAAAGAAGUUCCAGCAUAGGUUCUGCACCAUAUUCAAUGACUUUCGGUGCUGGGUUGGUGACACCGGUGGAUGGUCAUUUGUGUACCCUUUGGUGGCGCAACACGAGCCAUGCAGCAGGUGUGUGUGACUGCCUUGAUCAUGCACAGGGUUGUUGUAGUUUAGGAAGGGAAAUAAAACGUAUACAGUUUGUCUAAUUCA